UACGUAGGCAGCAAGCGUUGUUCGGAGUUACUGGGCGUAAAGGGUGCGUAGGCGGCCCUGUAAGUAUGGUGUGAAAUCUCCCGGCUUAACUGGGAGGGUGCGCUAUAGACUGUGGGACUAGAGUGUGGGAGAGGAAAGUGGAAUUCCUGGUGUAGCGGUGAAAUGCGUAGAUAUCAGGAGGAACACCGGUGGUGUAAACGGCUUUCUGGACCAUAACUGACGCUGAGGCACGAAAGCGUGGGUAGCAAACAGG
rnacentral:rRNA from 1 species